rnacentral:rRNA from 1 species
AGCAGCAGCCGCGGUAAUACAGAGGGUGCGAGCGUUAAUCGGAUUUACUGGGCGUAAAGCGUGCGUAGGCGGCUAAUUGAGUCGGAUGUGAAAUCCCCGAGCUUAACUUGGGAAUUGCAUUCGAUACUGGUUAGCUAGAGUGUGGGAGAGGAUGGUAGAAUUCCAGGUGUAGCGGUGAAAUGCGUAGAGAUCUGGAGGAAUACCGAUGGCGAAGGCAGCCAUCUGGCCUAACACUGACGCUGAGGUACGAAAGCAUGGGGAGCAAACAGGAUUAGAUACCCCAGUAGUCCCUGUCUCUUAUAA